rnacentral:rRNA from 1 species
AACGAACGCUGGCGGCAGGCUUAACACAUGCAAGUCGAACGCCCCGCAAGGGGAGUGGCGCACGGGUGAGUAACGCGUGGGAAUAUGCCCUUCGGUUCGGAAUAACACAGGGAAACUUGUGCUAAUACCGGAUACGAUCUACGGAUGAAAGAUUUAUCGCCGAGGGAGUAGCCCGCGUAGGAUUAGCUAGUUGGUGAGGUAAUGGCUCACCAAGGCGACGAUCCUUAGCUGGUCUGAGAGGAUGAUCAGCCACACUGGGACUGAGACACGGCCCAGACUCCUACGGGAGGCAGCAGUGGGGGAAUAUUGGACAAUGGGCGAAAGCCUGAUCCAGCCAUGCCGCGUGAGUGAUGAAGGCCUUAGGGUUGUAAGCUCUUCGCCAGGGAAGAUAAUG